GAUGAACGCUGGCGGCGUGCCUAAUACAUGCAAGUCGAGCGAACGGACGAGAAGCUUGCUUUUCUGAUGUUAGCGGCGGGCGGAUGAGUAACACGUGGAUAACCUACCUAUAAGACUGGGAUAACUUCGGGAAGCCGGAGCUAAUACCGGAUAAUAUUUUGAACCGCAUGGUUCAAAAGUGAAAGACGGUCUUGCUGUCACUUAUAGAUGGAUCCGCGCUGCAUUAGCUAGUUGGUAAGGUAACGGCUUACCAAGGCAACGAUGCAUAGCCGACCUGAGAGGGUGAUCGGCCACACUGGAACUGAGACACGGUACAGACUCCUACGGGAGGCAGCAGUAGGGAAUCUUACGCGAAGGGCGAAUGGCUGACGGAGCAACGUCGCGUGAGUGAUGAAGGUCCUCGGAUGGUAAAACUCUGUUAUUAGGGAAGAACAUAUGUGUAAGUAACUGUGCACAUCUUGACGGUACCUAAUCAGAAAGCCACGGCUAACUACGUG
rnacentral:rRNA from 1 species